AGAGUUUGAUCCUGGCUCAGGAUGAACGCUAGCUACAGGCUUAACACAUGCAAGUCGAGGGGAAACGACAUCGAAAAGCUUGCUUUUGAUGGGCGUCGACCGGCGCACGGGUGAGUAACGCGUAUCCAACCUGCCCACCACGUUGGGGAUAACCUUGCGAAAGUAAGACUAAUACCCAAUGAUAUCUCUAGAAGACAUCUGAAAGAGAUUAAAGAUUUAUCGGUGAUGGAUGGGGAUGCGUCUGAUUAGCUUGUUGGCGGGGUAACGGCCCACCAAGGCGACGAUCAGUAGGGGUUCUGAGAGGAAGGUCCCCCACAUUGGAACUGAGACACGGUCCAAACUCAUACGGGAGGCAGCA
rnacentral:rRNA from 1 species